rnacentral:rRNA from 1 species
AUUGAACGCUGGCGGCGUGCCUUACACAUGCAAGUCGAACGGUAACAGGUCUUCGGAUGCUGACGAGUGGCGAACGGGUGAGUAAUACAUCGGAACGUGCCUAGUAGUGGGGGAUAACUACUCGAAAGAGUGGCUAAUACCGCAUGAGAUCUACGGAUGAAAGCAGGGGAUCGCAAGACCUUGUGCUACUAGAGCGGCCGAUGGCAGAUUAGGUAGUUGGUGGGAUAAAAGCUCACCAAGCCAACGAUCUGUAGCUGGUCUGAGAGGACGACCAACCACACUGGGACUGAGACACGGCCCAGACUCCUACGGGGGGCAGAAGUGGGGGAUUUUGGACAAUGGGCGCGAGCCUGGUCCGUCCAUGCCGCGUGCGGGAAGAAGGCCUUCGGGUUGUAAACCGCUUUUGUCAGGGAAGAAAAGACUCCUGUUAAUACCGGGGGUUCAUGACGGUACCUGAAGAAUAAGCACCGGCUAACUACGUGCCAGCAGCCGCCGUAA